rnacentral:tRNA from 1 species
GCAGUCGUGGCCGAGUGGUUAAGGCGAUGGACUCGAAAUCCAUUGGGGUUUCCCCGCACAGGUUCGAAUCCUGUCGGCUCGCG